UGCACGUCUCUAAGAACUUGCCCUGAGCUGCAAGAUGGGAUUUGUUCCUCUCUGCCCCCCCUCUGUGGGGCUGGUUCCCCCGUUCCUGUUAUUUACACCCGGCGCUAUCAGUUCCUGACUAUCUGCAGCAGAGAGGUUUGUGUAAACUGCUGCCGCUGCGGUUCCAGCCUGUCUCACGGUCACCAGUUCCUGCGCGGCUCUUCCCGUCGGACGGGGACCACCGCCUUGGAUGUGACAGAGACCGUGUCCCUGGCUUUUCCUACCUCUCUGACAUCUAUGGAGACCUCAUCAGUGGUGUCCACCACUGACUCCAGCACCACAGGCACCAUCCCUCCCUCCAGCCCUGAAACAGGAGCCUCCACGCUGGAGACAUCCCUGGGGACUGACAGAUCUUCACCUCCCAUCGCAUCUUCCCCGACUGCACCAGCAUCGCCAGACACUUCGGCAGAGUCCUCGAUGACCACAGGGGACACCACAGGCACCUCUGAUACCAGCACAGGGUACAGCACUCCCAGCCAGCCUGUCGAGACCACGUUUGGGAUCACCUCUGGUACCUCCACUGUGACUAUGGAGACAACCCCAGGCACCUCGACAGUACCUGAGACCUCCAGUGCAGCCACGGGCACGGAGCCCUCUUCCCCCACCACCAACUCAACCCAGACUACAGACGAUACCCUCAGCACCCCCACAGACCUGACAACGACAGCGUUCUGCCCCACCACUGCAUCCAGCACCGGUCCGUCUUACCUCUUUCUGUCGCUGCAGCUAACCGUGCCCAAGGACCUGGGGAACACCACAAUGCAGGAGCUGCUGUUGUCCAAGCUCCGUGAGGAACUGCAGACGACGUUCCCAUGUGCUGGCCUGGGGGUGGAGUGGCGAGGGGAGAGGAGGACCUGACCACUGCUCCUUGCCCGGCCAGGACCUUCAGGGCUGGCACCCCUGUCAACUGGCAAGCCUUCUGCUCCCAGCUCCUUACUUCAUGGUAGUGCAGCCUUUUGGGGUGACCUGUACAGCUCCUCCUAAGCCUGGGACCCCCUGUCCUUCACUGCACACCCCCAGAGGACCCCCAGUGGGCUGGAGUGCCCCUUUCCCUUCCUGUAGCCUGUCUGUAGAGCCCGAGACCUCCCACCGCCCUGCACCAGACCUGCCUCCCACGGUGGGACCCCCCCAGAGCUGCUGGGAGGAGGGGACCCGGCAGGGCUAGGCCUCAGCCAUGAAAACCACCCUGGGGACCGACGGAUGAGAGAAAGGAGACCUGGAGCCACUGGUACUGCUGUGCUCUGUGAUGAUGACCUCAGAAGAUCUGCAAUCUGGGGAGGCUGCGGUGCCCAAGAUCUCUCAGAGAUGGUCCAGGGCUGUUUCACAGCCAGAGUGGGCCAGGAUGGAGCCCGGGGAUGCCUCUGGGAAGGAGGCAGGAGAGAAAAACCCCUCUCUACCCCUGGAGUCUCAUCCUGGGACCGGCCACGCUCCUGAGCCCUGUGGCGCAGAGGGCGAGUGAAGCCAGAGCCCGGCAAACCAGCUCUCCCCUCCUUCCUGGGGAGUCAUUGACAGAGAAGCACAACCAUGCCAACACGGAUGGGGAACAGAGGGAAAUUCCACCUUUUUCGUGCCAAAGAUGAUGACUGAUUUUUUUUUUUACAAGUUGACUUCCCUGAUUUUCAGCGUCGCCAUCUAGCAGAGGGACUGGCAAGGAAAAUUGGCUGAGUCCCCAAAAGCUUCGCAGCAGAGAGACGGUCUCAGGGCUGUCCCCUCCUGGCAGCGGCCACCACAGACAUUCCUGAGGACGGUUCAGCACCCCGACAGGCUGGGGGUCCCUGCUUUGGUGCUCUCCACCCCAUGGCGCCUCACAGCUGCCCAGGCAGCUGAGCUCACCAUGGGGCCGUGGAAAUCCCGUGGG
rnacentral:lncRNA from 1 species